rnacentral:rRNA from 1 species
GACGUAGGGCGCGAGCGUUGUCCGGAUUUACUGGGCGUAAAGAGCGCGCAGGCGGUCAAUCAAGUCGAGUGUGAAAGCCCCCGGCUCAACUGGGGAGGGUCACUCGAUACUGUUUGACUCGAAGGCGGGAGAGGGAAGUGGAAUUCCUGGUGUAGCGGUGAAAUGCGCAGAUAUCAGGAAGAACACCCGUGGCGAAGGCGGCUUUCUGGGACGGUACUGACGCUGAGACGCGAAAGCGUGGGGAGCGAACAGG